AGUCUCUGCCGCUCGUUUUCCUGCUCUGUCGGCGUGGCUGAUUCUGUGCCAUUACCGGCUGGUGUCUCCUCCGCCUUUCGACACCCACCACCACCACCACACACGCACACUCCACUGCGACAGCAGCCAGCCUCUGCAUCAACAACACCGUCAGGGUGUGCUUUCACCGGCUGUCACAGCCAUCUGCUCGUCCACUUCUCUUCUCCUCACUUGCUGAUCCGCACGGAGACAGCACUCUGCUUGAGCAGAAGGUGGCGGUGCUGGUGCUCGCGCUCGUGAUCUCUCGUGUGUGUGCUCAUCCUUGUUCUCUUGGCUCCCCCCUCCAUACAUAUACAUAUAUAGGUACGCCCUGUCCCAUCUCUCCUCGCCGCUAGCGCCCCACACCUCUGUCUGUGUGUGUGUGUGUGUGUCUGUGUGUGUCUGUGUGUGUGUGUGUGUGUCUGUGUGUGUGUGUGUGUGUGUGUGUCCCGCCCUGUAAUCGGCAUAGUGCGCCAUCAAGGCCCCACCUGCAUACCCACCUAACGGCCGCUGCGACACGUUCACAUGAGCGAGGCGAGUGCGUCGCCCGCCGCGGACGACCAAGAGGGUGUUACUCAGGGCGACGGCGACGACAGCCACGGUCGCCUACCGCAACCGCAGCAGCAGCAGCCUCACCGACGUGAUGUUUCAUUCCUCAUGUACGGCAGCCAAGCACUGCAGCAGCACAUGCAGAGCCGAGCAGGAGGGGCGUUGACCGUGAGCCCACCAAGCCCCGGAGACGUCGGUCUUGAGUUGCCUGUGCGGCCCCGCCUGUCCCCCUUCAGCACCCCGACAUAUUCCGCGACGACGCGCACCCUGGCAGACCUGCAGGUGUGGCGCUGCGGCGUUAGCGGCAGAGGUAGUGGUCGCACGCGCGGAGCGUUUGGCGCAGCGGACGGCGGCAGCAGAAGUCGCGGAACAGGCUCGCUCGUUUCCGCGGCAUCGGAACUCGCCACGCAUGCGCGGUGCGGCAGCAGUGGCGCGUUGGAGGCAGCGGCGCUCCCCCAGAACCAACCACUGCGCCAUCGCCUAGGCACGCACUCGCGGUACGGCAGCGUCUGUCUCGCCUCGCCGACCUCGCCAUCCACGGCGAAGAGCAGCACGCAGAGGUCGCCAGCCGAGACGGUGCGGUAUGGCAACGCAAGUAUGUCUGGCACCGCGGGUUUUAACGAGCACCUCCCAGCCGAAGCGGCGCAUCGCACACCCGUACACGUCAACGCUAGCCUCACCACCACCACCACAUCGCCGAUCACCGCGGGGGCCGGGAUUGAUAGAAGCAGUCAGCGCGUCUGUAGAAAGCAGCGGAGCAACCCGGUGGGGUUGACGGCAAGUGCACAGGCCUGGCACUGGGGUGCGGCGCCAGUGGCUGCAGUGGCCUUCCAGCAACAGCAGCAGAAGGGUCGCGGCCGUCAGCGCCGCGCCGUCGCCGCUUCGAGCGAGGGGGCGCUCGGCCGCCGGCGUGGCGGCAACGUGCCAGCGCCGCUCUUCUCCAAUGUUCCGACGACCGCGGCAAUGGGCGCGGCGGUGGCGGCCCGGGCGCAUAAAUCAGCGUCGAACCCGAGCACGUCCGUGAGUAGUCCAACGACCAAGGUGCAGCUGCGGCGCACUGCGCCGACGUCUUCCACCUCUGGCCGCACGGCCGUCUUUCCAUCCCCACACGCGACGCCGAUGUCCAGCGGUGGGGGCAGCUUGCCAGACGCUGAGUCUCCUGCAGCGCUGGAGUCCUCACCGGCGCAGCUCCUGAGUGGCAGAGGCAUGCUCACCACUAAUACUCCAACGACGGAGCUGAAGCGAGCUCUCUCGCAUACCAAGGCAGCGCCCAUGUCGCUCGCGAGCAAGGUGUCUGGCGAGGACGCGCAGGCUCCGUCCGAGGCGACCACGGCCGCGACACCAUUCUCCACUUGCGCACCUGCACCAUCAGCAUCAGUGUCGGCAGGUGCCGCGGCCCCUGCCACCUCUUACGAUGCGGCACGCCGCCUUGGUGUGCGGCACACUUUCGCCACGCUGGAUCCUACGGGCACGGUCAGCUUCGGGCCAGCGACCGGCGACAGUGCCGCUGAUGGCGCAGAGGCGGAAGAUGAUAUCGUGGCGGCCGAUGCAGCAGGUCAGCAGCACUUGGUGGCGACGGGCCAGCCACAGCACAGUGACGACAGUCGCGGCGAUCUUCCACGCGUCACGAGUUUUGCAUCGAGGGAGGAAGGCAGCAUAUACAGCCUCGUCGACUCACAUCAGACUUCCGAACACACAUGCGCGCUCCCGGCCUCCGUCACCGACGAGGACAUGGUGGAGGCCGCCGCCGCCGCCGCCGCAGCAGCAGCAGCAACAACAGGCACGGCGAGGGCCUUCAGGACGGAGGCGCGUACGACCCUCUAUCUGCAGGGUGUCGACGAUGCACACAUGCAGAAGGCACCGCAGUCCCUCGACAUUGAUCGCGCGGCGGCCCUCGGUGGCGCCUCUUCGCAGUCCCGUGCGGCAGGCGGCGCCACCGGUGGUGCGGUGGCUUCCGACUCACUGGAGGAAGAGGCUCUCCUGCGACAAGGCUUGGAAACUGGCGGUAGCGCUGGCAUCAGGUCGGUGAAUCGCGCAGCGAUGCUGAAGCGCUCGCUCACUGCCCCGUCGUACCUGAUCGGCAUGAGCUCGGCGACGGCGUUGGGCGGGCUGCUUGGCAACAGCACGGCCACGUCUCCGCUGUGGCCGAAACAGCAACAGCAGCAGGCGAACAAUUCCGGUGUGCUGAGCGCUACCGCCGCUCUGGGCCAGCGCACCACCAGCGUCGCCAGCAACUCUUUCUGGAGCUCAAGCAGCGCCAACAUGAACGCCAUCAGCAACAACAGCAUCGCCGGCAUCGCGGGCGGGGUGUCAGCUAUCAACGUUGGUGCAGGAAGCUUGGGCACCUUCGUCAACUCCUCUACCCUCUUCUCUGGCAGCUCCACGGUAGCCGGCGCCUCCACGCUGCGCGAUCCCUUCGCCGCGUCCGUCGUCAUGCAGCAGAACAGGUCCGCGCUGAUCGCUGAGCUCAAGCGGCGGCGACAUCGGCUGCACAAGCAGCUGGAACUGUUGCAGAAGGAGGCGACGGCGCGCAACAUCUUCGCCCUCGUCCGCGCCAGCAACGCCUCGCAACUGCAGUACCUCCUGCAGGAGGGACUGUGCAAUGUAAACGACCGCGACUACAACGGCUGCACCCCGCUGCACGUGGCGGCCGGAGAGGGCAAUCAAGCCAUUGUGCGCGUGCUCCUCUCCUUCGGUGCCAAUGUCGUGGCUGUCGACAACAACGGCCGCACGCCACUCGACUGCGCCGCGGCGAACCGGCACAGCGGCGUCGCCCGCUAUCUGCUCACUGUAAUCCGCAGCAAGCACCUCAUCCAGGACGGCGGUGACGGUGCUGUCACCGGCAGCGGAGGUGACGAUAGCUCACCUGCGACCGUGCGAAGCGCAAAACGGGCCGCAGAUGAGGGCUCUGCUGACAUGAGCGCGUACCCGAGCUCGUCUACCUCGCCCAUCGGCCACUCCUCGGCGCAACGGCGCAACUUGGACAGUGCCGGAGGCGUCCUGCCUCUCGGCAACUCGCCGGCAGGCUCCCUCACGCUGUGCGCCGGCACCGCUACACAGAUAGACACCUCCGUGCAGUACCAAUCUGCAUCGUCGGGGUCGUCGCUCAUACAGUCGCCGGGGCUGCCCCCACCUCCCUCCCGGCAACCGCAGCAGCAGCGGCACCCAGUCUCGUUGUCCUCGGCUGCCUCCACACCGUCGCCCUCCAGGCCCUCAAACUUGAACCGGUAUCCUGCCAAGGCCACCGCCUCCGUCACCACUAUGGACGCGGAGAGCUGGAGCGACAGCGAUGUGCCGCCGCACGCGGUGGGGUGGGGCAUCCACUCUGCCCCUGCAGAAGCGGCCGCCGCCCGCUCGGCGCCGAGCCAAGCAUCUGUGGCUGCCGACACGACGGCCGCCAGCGACGCGCCCCCCGCUGCGACACCGAAGCCGCCGGCUUGGCUGACCAUGUACGACACCAGAGUCCCUGCGUCGCGAUCGUUGCCGCAGCGCCUCGCGUCACAGCAAGAAGCAAGGGUGAUGGCGAAUUCAGCGGGUGCCUACAGCACUCUGACGACACACGAGCGCUUGGCGUCCAUGUCGACCCCGCGAUGGCGGCACAACAACAUUCCCCACGGCAGCUCCCCGCAGAGGCCUGUGUUCCUGUCUUCGCUAGACUCGACAGCAGCCGCGCACUCUCGCGGUCUCAUCGCGGCGGAGUCAAACGCAGGCGCCGCCACAACGGCGCCCUCCUCGCCGCCCUUCAGCAGCAGCCGCAGUCACGAGAGCACGGCGCCGCUGCCCAUCACGCUCGGCAUAAACGGCCCCGCCACCAGUUUUGGUAGCGGUAGCGCCAGUGUGGGCGGACAUCUCCUCGAGCGGCACGUCAUGUCGGCGCCGACGUACCUGGCGGAUGCGAUGGACGAGUGCAGCGGCGAAGGCACGGGCCAGGCGGCGAUGCAGCAACCGCCAUCACGCACGCACUCUAGCACGUCCCUCAUCACGACUACCGCCGCCACUGCCGCGGGUGCGAUGGCUGGCUGGCACGACAGUGAUGAGCCGCUCGCGGACACCAAUGCCGAGGGCAUCUUAGAUGCCUUCCUUGGCCGGCGCGGUUACUGCAGCACGCAUCGCCGUCGCAUGCAGAGCGAGAGCGGCAGAAGCCCCCAUGGCGCCUUUGCUUCCGCGUCGUCGGACUGGUUGCGGAGUGGCAGUCCACCCAUACUCUCCGCGGGGGAAGACAAGCAGCAACGCAGCCGUAACGACUACAACUUCAACGCGACAGGAAGCUUUCCUGGCGAGGUGCCCAGCAAACUCUGUCCUCCGCCAGCGCCGACGGCGGCGACCGGCGCGGCGACAACGGCAGUUGCCACCCCAGCAACUUCGGCAGCAGCGUCCGGCGGUGGUGCGCAGCAGCGGCACAUGCUCCUGCGUCCGCCGCGGCGUCCAGACAGCCGCUCCCCAGCGGCCGAGCGGGGAGGCGCCACAACGACUGCGGAUGCGGUCGCCUGCCCCAUGCGCAUCCUGCACCCCUUGCAACUUCUUGGCGUUGACUCGCACGAGGAGUUGAGUGGCUAUCACGGCGGCGCCGCCACGUCGAUGACCUCAUCGACGACCGCGGCGACGGCCGCCUCCGGUGGCGGCUCGCCGCGUGGCGCCGGCGCGGCGAGCAGCAGCCUUUGCGACAUGGGCCAGCAGUCGUUUGAAGAGCACCACCACCACUACCGCCUGACCGCGUUCGGCGUGCUGGGCAACCAGCAGCAGCUGAGAGGCAAGUACUCCUGUGACGGGCACUCGACGCCGCCGCCGCUGCUUCAAGCGCCGCGUGCCGUAUGCGACCCAGCCAAGAUAGAGGCCGCUGUGGCUGAGCCUGCCUCACCAAGCGGCGGCGGCGGCGGCGAUGGCGGCAACAGCAGCAGCGCCAUCACGAAGAAUGGUAACAGCGAUGUAACGUCAUUCUUCUCUGUCCCCGUCGUAGCGGCCCCGUCUUCGUCGAGCAACGCCACUGCCGUCCCUGCCGAGACUGCCAAAGUCCUGGUAGCAGCAUCAGCGGCGGCACCGGCGGCGGCGCCGACGGCCGGUAGCCACACAGCCGAGGAGCAACCCUUCCUGCAGGAGAUGCACCACGAGCUGGUGGAGCUGGCCGCGCUGCACCACUCGAGCUACACCACGAUCAGCGACACGGUCUCGGUCAUUGUGUGCAUGGUGGGGCUGCCAGGGCGAGGCAAGAGUUUCAUCAGCAAGCGGCUCGUGCGCUACAUGAACUGGAAAGGUGUGCCGUGCAAGGUGUUCAACGCCGGCAACUACCGGCGGCAGCUGCUCGGGGUCGAGGCCACCGCUGGCGCGGACUUCUUCAAUCCGGACAACCCGCAAGGAGCGCAGCUGCGGGAGCGCAUGGCGGAGCUGGCCUGCGAGGAUCUCGUCAACUUCAUUGCCUCCCACUCGCUCGCCGUCGGUAUCCUCGACGCAACGAACACGACGCGCAAGCGACGGGCGUGGCUGUCGGACUACUUCCAGAAAGAGGCACAGCGGCAUGCGGUGCCGUACCGGCUUCUCUUCAUCGAAUCCGUGUGCACCGACGACACCAUCGUCACGGAAAACAUCUUGCGCAGCAAGUGCGGCAACGAUGACUUCAGGAACCUCAAGGAUGUCAGCGCCGUCAUCUCCGAGUUCCGCAACCGCAUCUUGCAGUACGAGAAGGUUUACGAAACGCUAGAACCCGAGGAACGGAUGCCGUACAUUAAGAUCGUCAACGUCAAGCACCACGUCAUACUGCACCGCGUGCCGAACGGAUUGGGCAGUCGCAUCGCUUUCUUCCUCCUAAAUCUUCACCCCAUCGCCUUCCCGAUUUACGUGGCACUGCCCGGCGAGACCGUCGGUGACAGCAAGCACGUCUACGGUGGUGACGAGCGGCUGACGGCCCAAGGCGAGGCCUACGCACUGGCGCUGAAGCACUUCAUUCAAGAUCGAUACGUUCCGCACAUGGUGGUGCUGCACGCCACCAACUACUGCGUGCUGAGCACGCUGGCACCGCUGAUGGAGGGCGCUACGCAGGAAGAAGACGCCUCUGCGCUGCAGGUAUCCAGCAGCGCGAACCAGCACAGCGCGCCGGCGGGGCAGCAAUGUGCGGCGAAGGCGACCCUCGCGCCAGCCGAUGCGGUCGCGACUACCGGCAGUGGACCGUCGACGCCGAACGCAUCGAGCGAGGCGCCGCAGGAUCCGCAGCAGCACGACGGGGGCGUCGCGGAGGAGCAGUCCGUGCACGAGGACAACAGCGACCAGGUAGAUGCAGACGAGGAGGACGUAGGCGAUGAGGUGCUCUGCGCGGUGCCGGGACUCGACAACAUCAACUUCGGGCGCUUCAGCGGCCACACAGCCGCAUGGGUAAAGGAAAAAUACCCUCGGCUGUCUGCGCUCCUGUACGACGUGGACGACGAAGACGUGGUCGGCGACGCAAGGGCCGGCGCAGCAGCAGCAGGGCAGCAGCACCAGUCACGCAAGGGCAGCGGUGAAGCGGACGCGACUGCAUCGUCGGCGCCAGUCGGGAGUGUCACGGCCGCGGAAUGGCUCGCGGCCCCCCUCCCGCCGCGGGUACACUAUGCCACGCAUGAGGAGGCCGUCUCGCACCUGCAGCGCGCCCUGAGCGGUGCUGACCCGCGCCUGUCCUACUGCACCCAGCUACCGAAUGGUGAGAGCUGCCGGCAGGUCAACGUCCGCCUGGAGCCGGCGCUGAUGGCCGUCAUGCGCACGCAGUCCCCCGUGUUCGUCGUCGCGCCGGCCGUGCCAGCACAGGGUAUCCUGUCCUUCUUCAUGGACGUCAUCCCUGAGCUGUCGCCGACCAUCCGUAUCCCGAAAGGGUGCGUGAUCGAGAUCGGCGUCAAGGACGGCAUCACCGUGCACCCGCUGCUGCCGAACGCGCUGCCGGAGAGGAUGACACGCUCCCCGCUAACGGUGCUGCCGGAGAUCCAGGACGCCAUUCGUGAGGUGGCCGCUGCCAGCUCCAUGGAGACGUGCGCAGCGAGAACGUGUGCGAAGGUGAGCGCCCCGACACAGGCUGGCGGUUGCACUGCUGUGGGUGGUGGUGCUGCUGCACUCCUUAGUGCGGUCGCUGCCGGCAGCGAAGCAGGGGGGAGCGUGAAGGGUGAUGCGUGCCCGGUGAACGCGAGCGCCUCUUGAGCGGCCAUGGUGCCGCCUCUCUCUUCUUAGUCCAUGGGGCUGUGAAGGAGUCGAGGCAUCCACGUCUGCGCGAUGCAUUGGUGGCGUCCUGUGCGUUCUUCUCUACCAUCCUCGGCGCACUGCAGGGGCCCUCCCCUGUCUUUUGCACGGCGUGUUGAUGUUCGCUCCAGCGGUAGCGGUGCUGCGCUGAGUCGUCCUCGAUCCCUUCUUUUGCUUCGGCUUGUUGUGCGUGUGUACGUGUGUGUGUGUGUGAAGGGGGGGGUGUUGCUUGCUUAACCUGUGAUCGCAGAAUCGCGUGCCAACCUUCUGCUCUUCUCUUCUCCUGUCCUCCCGCCUUCCAUCGUCUGGACCCCCACUCCCCCUACACCGCCUCUCAG
rnacentral:misc_RNA from 1 species